UCGAACGGAAAGGCCCAGCUUGCUGGGUGCUCGAGUGGCGAACGGGUGAGUAACACGUGGGUGAUCUGCCUCUAACUUCGGGAUAAGCUAGGGAAACUGGGUCUAAUACCGGGUAGGACAAUCGUUUAGUGUCGGUUGUGGAAAGUUUUUUCGGUUAGGGAUGAGCCCGCGGCCUAUCAGCUUGUUGGUGGGGUAAUGGCCUACCAAGGCGUCGACGGGUAGCCGGCCUGAGAGGGUGGACGGCCACAUUGGGACUGAGAUACGGCCCAGACUCCUACGGGAGGCAGCAGUGGGGAAUAUUGCACAAUGGGCGCAAGCCUGAUGCAGCGACGCCGCGUGGGGGAUGACGGCCUUCGGGUUGUAAACCUCUUUCGACAGGGACGAAGCUUUGGUGACGGUACCUGUAUAAGAAGCACCGGCUAACUACGUGCCAGCAGCCGCGGUAAUACGUAGGGUGCGAGCGUUGUCCGGAAUUACUGGGCGUAAAGAGCUCGUAGGUGGUUUGUCGCGUCGUCUGUGAAAUUCCGGGGCUUAACUUCGGGCGUGCAGGCGAUACGGGCAUAACUUGAGUGCUGUAGGGGAGACUGGAAUUCCUGGUGUAGCGGUGGAAUGCGCAGAUAUCAGGAGGAACACCGAUGGCGAAGGCAGGUCUCUGGGCAGUAACUGACGCUGAGGAGCGAAAGCAUGGGGAGCGAAUAGGAUUAGAUACCCUGGUAGUCCAUGCCGUAAACGGUGGGCGCUAGGUGUAGGGGUCUUCCACGACUUCUGUGCCGUAGCUAACGCAUUAAGCGCCCCGCCU
rnacentral:rRNA from 1 species